GUUGAAACACAUCUGAUCUCAUCUGAAAGCUGAUUCCAGCUACAGGUUUAAAAGUGCCCACUGUUGAAACACAUCUGAUCUCAUUUGAAAGCUGAUUCCAGCUACAGAUCUAAAAGUGUCUUCUGUUGAAACACAUCUGAUCUCUUCUGAAAGCUGAUUCCAGCUACAGAUUUAAAAGUGCCUACUGUUGAAACACAUCUGAUCUCAUCUGAAAGCUGAUUCCAGCUACAG